GAUGAACGCUGGCGGCGUGCCUAAUACAUGCAAGUCGAGCGAAUGGAUUAAGAGCUUGCUCUUAUGAAGUUAGCGGCGGACGGGUGAGUAACACGUGGGUAACCUGCCCAUAAGACUGGGAUAACUCCGGGAAACCGGGGCUAAUACCGGAUAACAUUUUGAACCGCAUGGUUCGAAAUUGAAAGGCGGCUUCGGCUGUCACUUAUGGAUGGACCCGCGUGGCAUUAGCUAGUUGGUGAGGUAACGGCUCACCAAGGAAACGAUGCGUAGCCGACCUGAGAGGGUGAUCGGCCACACUGGGACUGAGACACGGCCCAGACUCCUACGGGAGGCAGCAGUAGGGAAUCUUCCGCAAUGGACGAAAGUCUGACGGAGCAACGCCGCGUGAGUGAUGAAGGCUUUCGGGUCGUAAAACUCUGUUGUUAGGGAAGAACAAGUGCUAGUUGAAUAAGCUGGCACCUUGACGGUACCUAACCAGAAAGCCACGGCUAACUACGUGCCAGCCGCCGCGGUAA
rnacentral:rRNA from 1 species